CCUACGGGAGGCAGCAGUGAGGAAUAUUGGUCAAUGGCCGAGAGGCUGAACCAGCCAAGUCGCGUGAGGGAAGACGGCCCUACGGGUUGUAAACCUCUUUUGUCGGGGAGCAAAGCGAGUCACGUGUGACUCAUUGAGAGUACCCGAAGAAAAAGCAUCGGCUAACUCCGUGCCAGCAGCCGCGGUAAUACGGGGGAUGCGAGCUUUAUCCGGAUUUAUUGGGUUUAAAGGGUGAGCAGGCGGAGGUGCAAGUCAGCGGUCAAAUUGCGGGGCUCAACCCCGUACUGCCGUUGAAACUGCAUGCCUUGAGUGCGCGAGAGGUAUGCGGAAUGCGUGGUGUAGCGGUGAAAUGCAUAGAUAUCACGCAGAACUCCGAUUGCGAAGGCAGCAUACCGGCGCGCAACUGACGCUCAUGCACGAAAGCGUGGGUAUCGAACAGGAUUAGAUACCCCUGUAGUC
rnacentral:rRNA from 1 species